rnacentral:rRNA from 1 species
CGUGUAGGCGGUGCGGUAAGUCGGGUGUGAAAUCCUCGGGCUUAACUCGGGGCGGUCGCUCGAAACUGCCGUGCUAGGGUGCGGGAGAGGGAAGUGGAAUUCCCGGUGUAGCGGUGAAAUGCGUAGAUAUCGGGAGGAACAUCUGCGGCGAAGGCGGCUUCCUGGACCGUAACCGACGCUGAGGCGCGAAAGCUAGGGGAGCAAACAGGAUUAGAUACCCUGGUAGUCCUAGCCCUAAACGAUGAGCACUGGGUGUGGCCUCUCACGGGGCCGUGCCGAAGCUAACGCAUUAAGUGCUCCGCCUGGGGAGUACGGUCGCAAGGCUGAA